UAACAAUUUCACAAUUGUAUGUGAGUUUUGAGCUUGUAAUGUGAUGUAUAUACACUAUAUGGAGACAUAACGCUGGUUUUAAUUGUUUUUCUUUCACAGCUAUAGAAAUAUUUAGACAAGAAUUGUCCAAAGUGUAUAUAUAAAAAAAAAAGGCCCACAUGACAUACAACAUGAAGCCACAAAAGAGCCAAGCAAAGCAAGAAUAAGGCAUAAAGCAAUAGGUGUCCAAACAGAUGCCUGAGAUUGAAAAAAGGGUUUCUCCAAAAAUAACAAAUUCAAAAAUCUAUAGAAAUAUUCAGACAGGAAUUGUCGAAAGUUUCUAAAGAAAAAAGGCCCACAUGACAUACAAGAUGAAGCCACAAAAGAGCCAAGCAAAUCUAUACAAACAUUUAACCAGGGAGCGUCUGAAGAAAACUCCCAAUAUGAAGCUACAGAAGAGCAAAGCGAAGAUGAAAGACCUGGACCAAUGACGACAGCAUGUCUGCACAGACCACCCUGCAAACAUAUCAACAUGUCAAUAAUACAUGAGGGUAACCAUAUGACUGAUCGAUAAUCUACCAGCCUGCGCGGAAGAAAGAGAAGAUGCACACCCUUCCCUCAAGCACUCUUAAAUUACGUCAAAUUAAAUCUGAUAUAAAAAGUCUGACUUGAGAAACAAAGAUGGUGUGAGGGCAAAGUGCAGUUCGAGUUCAGGAACAUCUUUCACGGCGCCGUGGGCACACGUUUACGUGUCGCCGUCUGUUUAAUGAGUGAUGAGCGCUGAGUUAUCGCCACUGCAGUGCCGCCUUGUACAAAUCACUUCAUAACACAGCCUGAUAGUAUUUUCCAUUAUGAUACAUUGUGUUCCAAUGAGAUGCACACGCAUAAAAAUUAUUCAGGGAGGGAUUUACAAGAAAGAAACAUGCGUUUUUAUUACAUUCUCCACCAUUCUUCCUGAGCACCGCUCAGCAAAUGCAUCUUCUCUGGGCUGUUUCUUUCCCCCAUGUUGCCAAGGCAACUUCUCGAUCAAUAUUCAAUUAAAAAGGGGCACUACAAAAAGUGCUACAGUUGUAGUAAUUUUUGUUUACAUGGGAGCCAAAAUAAAAACCUCAAUUUUAUUAUGGUGCUUGUAGACCAUUACAGCCGCAUUGUCUCUGAUAUGAAUAAUUCUCUUUACAAGUGCGUAUCCGUGGGAUGUAUACGUCUGUUUA